AGCAGCGUGGCUCAGUGGAAAGAGCAUGGGCUUUGGAGUCAGAGGUCAUGGGUUCAAAUCCCACCUCAGCCA
rnacentral:tRNA from 1 species